GGACUGUGACUCUGUGCUGGGCCAGACCCGGCCCAAGUCUCCUAGUUUCAACUGUUGAAACUGACCCGCACCGUCUCCCUAUACACGGAGCACAGAAGCCGUAGUCCGAGAAGACAUUGUUCUGAGCGAAACGCCUGCCCCCACCAAACAGUAGCAAUGAAGGUGCGGUCAUCAGUUAAGAAGAUGUGUGAAUUUUGCAAAACGGUCAAACGCCGUGGCCGUGUUUAUGUACUAUGCACAGCUAACCCCAAGCAUAAGCAACGACAAGGCCUGUCAACAUUUGCAUAUGAAGGCCCAUCUGAUCCUACGUCUUCAGACACGAGUGCCAAACUGGAGAGUUUGCCUAGUCACAACCUCCGGGCUGGUCUGGCUUCUCUUAUACCCAGGAAGCAGGAGCCUUUAAUAAUGUAUGGAUGGAGGGCAAGCCUAGCAUCCAUCCUGUUCAAAAAGGUCAAUUAGCAUCCUCCUACUCAAAAGGGGGCAAGGAUAUUGAGUGCUGAUACAUUUACGGGCUGGUAUUCACAAGAAAUCCAUGGGACAGUGCAAGUUUUGCACUGUUCAUUGCAUUGUGUAUCGACUUAUUAUAAUUAUAGUAUAUACUAUUAAUUACAA